rnacentral:rRNA from 1 species
GACGAACGCUGGCGGCGUGCCUAAUACAUGCAAGUAGAACGCUGAAACUUGGUGCUUGCACCGAGCGGAUGAGUUGCGAACGGGUGAGUAACGCGUAGGUAACCUGCCUGGUAGCGGGGGAUAACUAUUGGAAACGAUAGCUAAUACCGCAUAAGAGUAGAUGUUGCAUGACAUUUGCUUAAAAGGUGCAAUUGCACCACUACCAGAUGGACCUGCGUUGUAUUAGCUAGUUGGUGGGGUAACGGCUCACCAAGGCGACGAUACAUAGCCGACCUGAGAGGGUGAUCGGCCACACUGGGAGUGGGACACGGCCCAGACGCCUACGGGAGGCAGCAGUAGGGAAUCUGCGGCAAUGGACGGAAGUCUGACCGAGCAACGCCGCGUGAGUGAAGAAGGUUUUCGGAUCGUAAAGCUCUGUUGUAAGAGAAGAACGAGUGUGAGAGUGGAAAGUUCACACUGUGACGGUAGCUGACCAGAAAGGGACGGCUAACUACGUG